GGGGAUGUAGCUCAGAUGGUAGAGCGCUCGCUUAGCACGAAGUCACCACGACGUCAGCACCUGCGAGAGGUAUUGGGAUCGAUACCCAACUUCUCCA
rnacentral:tRNA from 1 species